rnacentral:rRNA from 1 species
AUGAACGAGCUUAAUACCGAUGCCCUGGAUUCUGUUUCUAGUUGGUCGAUUGGUCUUUGUUCCAAUAGAGUAGAGCUAGGGUUGCAUGCAGCGUCAUGGUUGUUAAGUGUUGAAUUUCAUUGCUUAAUUAGUGCUUGUUGGGUGCUAAAUUUUGAUUGCUUAACUGAUGUUAAGUUGGUCAAGUUAAUAGCCAAAGUUACUGAAAAUGAGCAACAAAAUGGAGGAAGUAAGCCCCAAGCCCAACUUCACACUCGUACACCAUCCAAUAAAAUGGGUUUUACGUUGGUACCACUUUUCACAAAUCUAUUACUUUGGAUACUGAUUUAUGUUUUUGUGAUUUCUUUUCUUUCAAAUGAGAACCUUGACAGGUCUCCUCCCAUUGAUCCGAAGGAGGCAUUGAGUAUCUCUAGGCUGCUCAAAUUUAAUUUUUCUAAAAUUAAUCAGCUUGGGGUGACACAUGAGAUUGAGAAGUACAGUUUUCGUAGUAGGUGUGAUGGUGAUCUUCUUAAUAGCCCUGCAUGA